AGUCAAGUAAUUAAGUGCAUGUGGUGGAUGCCUUGGCAGUCAGAGGCGAUGAAAGACGUGAUAGCCUGCGAAAAGCUCCGGGGAGGCGGCAAAUAUCCUUUGAUCCGGAGAUGUCUGAAUGGGGGAACCCACCUACUUUAAGGUAGGUAUUGCAACAUGAAUACAUAGUGUUGCAAGGCGAACGAGGGGAAGUGAAACAUCUCAGUACCCUUAGGAAAAGAAAUCAAUUGAGAUUCCCUCAGUAGCGGCGAGCGAACGGGGAUCAGCCCAUUAAGUUAUGUGUGUUUUAGUGGAACGCUCUGGGAAGUGCGAACGUAGAGGGUGAUAUUCCCGUACACGAAAGGGCACACAUAAUGAUGACGAGUAGGGCGAGGCACGUGAAACCUUGUCUGAAUAUGGGGGGACCAUCCUCCAAGGCUAAAUACUCCUGACUGACCGAUAGUGAACCAGUACCGUGAGGGAAAGGCGAAAAGAACCCCUGUGAGGGGAGUGAAAUAGAUCCUGAAACCGCAUGCAUACAAGCAGUGGGAGCACCUUCGUGGUGUGACUGCGUACCUUUUGUAUAAUGGGUCAGCGACUUAUAUUCAGUAGCAAGGUUAACCGUAUAGGGGAGCCGUAGAGAAAUCGAGUCUUAAUAGGGCGUUUAGUUGCUGGGUAUAGACCCGAAACCAGGCGAUCUAUCCAUGAGCAGGUUGAAGGUUGGGUAACACUAACUGGAGGACCGAACCCACUGUCGUUGAAAAGCCAGGGGAUGACUUGUGGAUAGGGGUGAAAGGCUAAUCAAGCCUGGUGAUAGCUGGUUCUCCCCGAAAGCUAUUUAGGUAGCGCCUCGGACGAAUACCAUAGGGGGUAGAGCACUGUUUCGGCUAGGGGGUCAUCCCGACUUACCAAACCGAUGCAAACUCCGAAUACCUAUGAGUACUAUCCGGGAGACAGACUGCGGGUGCUAACGUCCGUAGUCAAGAGGAAAACAAUCCAGACCGCCAGCUAAGGCCCCAAAAUCAUAGUUAAGUGGGAAACGAUGUGGGAAGGCAUAGACAGCUAGGAGGUUGGCUUAGAAGCAGCCACCCUUUAAAGAAAGCGUAAUAGCUCACUAGUCGAGUCGGCCUGCGCGGAAGAUGUAACGGGGCUAAAACUAUGUGCCGAAGCUGCGGAUUUGACAUUAGUCAAGUGGUAGGGGAGCGUUCUGUAAGCCGAUGAAGGUGUAUUGAGAAG
rnacentral:rRNA from 1 species